rnacentral:lncRNA from 1 species
AGUUUAUAAAACAGUAACACAUUAAGAAAAGCGAUAAACAAAUAACCAACAAAGCAAGGAAAUAAGACAAACAAAACAAAUAAACAAAGCAAAUAAAGAAAACAAAUACCUCAACCGAAUAUCCUAAAAGCCAACAAGAUCAAAUACCAGCUCGAACCUGCAAGAUUCCCUAGCAGAGUCGCCAGAGAUGUCACACCCAUGUUUAACCAACCUCACUAACCCUCUUAAAAUAAUAAAAAGAUUUAGUAAAGCUCAAAGGGUUUUUAAUUAAAAAAUGACAAAAUUGUGUUCAAAAGAAAAUAACUCAGAGCCUCCACCUAGCAUUGGGUUUCGGUGUGCCAGGCCACUGUUCAAAAGCAAUUUCUCCUUUCAAAAUACAUGGACUUCAAAACUAAGUCUGCACCAGAGAUUCGGGUAAGGGGGCUCAUUUGACUCGGGGAGAAGGUGUUAAGCACUCCCCAAGUCCCGUGAAAGUCACGGUUGCGUACUUGAUUUAGUCGGCUUUUAGAAUAUUCGAAUUAAGGUAAAAUAAACACAACAAAGAAAAAUAAACACACAAGAGGCUCGAGGUCAUCCCUACCUAAUAAAAAAAAUGAAAAAUGGAAAUAAAAUAAAAAUACUACGAGUUCUACUUUCGGCCUCCAAAUACAAAUACUACGGGGCAUGCCCCGAAUAAAUAUAUACAAGUCUACGGGGCAUUUUCCCUGCAAAUGAACUAAAGGGAACGACCUCUCGCCCCGAACUAAAUAAAUGAAAAGACCUAAAGUUUGCCUACCCAAAUGUUGGCAGCCUAAACAUGCUCGUAGCGAUCGAAGUAAUAAAGUAGCCAACAUGUUAUAUUCAAAUUUCAAUUCUGCUCCUUUAAAUCCCGAUCCCACGUCCAUUAAUAGAAUAAAAUCAAACAAGAAAUUAAUCAAAGCAUUCUUAAGUUCAAAUCACUUCCAUGUCUUCAAAAUAGUGUCGUCUUCAAUUUCAAUUUUUAACUAAACCCAUAACCCAAAUUCAAUUCGUUUCUUAUAUUCUCAAUUAAAGAAUAAGUGACUCCAAAGCACAAUAACUAUUUUGCCAAGAAAAUAUAAACAUAUAAAUUAAGCCACAAAACCAGUUUGCAAAGUCAAGCAAUCUGCAUCAAAGUUAUAACAUAAAAAUGCACAAGGAAAAAAAGGAAGAAAGAGGAUUAGACCUUUAAUGGUAAUUUUCUUCUAAGAAAUUGGAUUGAAUCCAAACUGAACCGGGAAUAAGAAAACUCGACCAAGGCCAACAGACUGAAACUCGCCGACGAACUCGAACUCAGCUUAACCUCAGUCAAACUCCGUAAUUUUUUGCAGCAAAAAAGAAAUAAACAUAAACUCAAAAUGAUCCAAAAGAAACGAACAACAGUAGCGGCAACCAAAUUGAACGAACGACAACUAGAAUUCGAACAUAAUAGUUCAUUGCUUCCAAUCGAUUUGAAUAGGGUUGAACGAACGGCAACCUCAACGAAUGAGCUCAUUGCUGAGCUCCCCAAUCCAACUCAUUAGUGGCCAAAAUUAGUUCAACAAUCUGAGCUUCUAUGAGUUAAAGGAUUCGAAAGGUGUAGAACUAGAAAUAGAAGAUUUUUAAUUGCGAAAUUGGAGUUUAAUAGGGGAAGGUGGUGUGGCGAUUUGAUCUUGGAAUCGAGGGUUCCGACGAGAUGUGGUUCUUUGGUCCUGAAGCAGAAGAGAGCCGAUGGAGGGGAAUUUUCGGUGGUUCUCGGCUGUGUUGUUUUUGUGGUUCAAGAUGGAAGAUGAAGAUAGGGUUUCUAUAAUUGGCUAUUUUAUAUGAAGGUGGGGAGGGA